rnacentral:rRNA from 1 species
GACGAACGCUGGCGGCGUGCUUAACACAUGCAAGUCGAACGGAAAGGCCCUGCUUUUGUGGGGUGCUCGAGUGGCGAACGGGUGAGUAACACGUGAGUAACCUGCCCUUGACUUUGGGAUAACUUCAGGAAACUGGGGCUAAUACCGGAUAGGAGCUCCUGCUGCAUGGUGGGGGUUGGAAAGUUUCGGCGGUUGGGGAUGGACUCGCGGCUUAUCAGCUUGUUGGUGGGGUAGUGGCUUACCAAGGCUUUGACGGGUAGCCGGCCUGAGAGGGUGACCGGCCACAUUGGGACGGAGAUACGGCCCAAACCCCUACGGGAGGCAGGAGGGGGGAAUAUUGCACAAUGGGCGGAAGCCUGAUGCAGAAACCCCGCGGGGGGGAUGACGGCCUUCGGGUUGUAAACCGCUUUCGCCUGGGACGAAGGGUGAGUGACGGUAAUGGGUAAAGAAGCACCGGCUAACUACGU